GAUGAACGCUGGCGGCGUGCCUAAUACAUGCAAGUCGAGCGAACGGACGAGAAGCUUGCUUCUCUGAUGUUAGCGGCGGACGGGUGAGUAACACGUGGAUAACCUACCUAUAAGACUGGGAUGACUUCGGGAAACCGAAUCUAAUACCGGAUAAUAUUUUGAACCGCAUGGUUCAAAAGUGAAAGACGGUCUUUCUGUCACUUAUAGAUGGAUCCCCGCUGCAUUAGCCAGUUGGUCAGGUAACGGCUUACCAAGGCAACGAUGCAUAGCCGACCUGAGAGGGUGAGCGGCCACACUGGAACUGAGACACGGUCCAGACUCCUACGGGAGGCAGCAGUAGGGAAUCUUCCGCAAUGGGGGAAAGCCUGACGGAGCAACGCCGCGUGAGUGAUGAAGGUCUUCGGAUCGUAAAACUCUGUUAUUAGGGAAGAACAUAUGUGUACGUAAAUGUGGAGAUCUUGACGGUACCUGAAGAGAAAGCCACGGCUAACUACGUG
rnacentral:rRNA from 1 species